UCAGACCCACCUGAUAAGGAUUCCAGCCUGGAAAGGGGACCAUGGCAGGGGACACUACCACAGGCCCAUAAGGGCCCUGGACUAAUGAGCCAGGCAGCAACGGAGGCCUUGCAACCAGUACACUAUAUUGCUGUUGCGAAGGACCAGAUGGAGGCUGCACGGUUGGAUAUAAUGGAGAAGGUACCUGUACAGGUAGAGGUGAAACCGGGGGAACUGGUGAUGGUGCGGGAAUUUGGACACCUGCAGGUCUUCUUCUUUUUUUUUUUUUUUUCAAUUUUUGUAUAUCAUUUUUAUCACAUAUUGCCAAAAUUUUCAGCAGAGAACAUCAUCCAUAACCCAAUAUGAGGCAACAAAGAACAAAGGCGUUGAAAUGUAAUGCUUACCGGGCGCAAAGGAAGACCCACAGGACUAAGGGCCACAUUCCCCUUCGGUGCAUUAAGGUCUGAUGGAUGAUGAUAUCUACAUGAUGGACCAAAUUUACAUUCCCCUGUUUUCAUGUAAUACUGACAUUCUGGUUGAUCAGGCCUUUCAGGAUAUGGGUUCUCCUUCUGAGUACUACUACCUGAAGGAUCAACAGAGGGGCCAGAAGGUUGAUAAGGUGCAGAAUACCCAGUUGCCUGAGAAGGCAGCUGGGUUAUCCUGUAAAGCUGUGUUGGACCAACAUUAGAUGGAGUACUAGAGGGAAGUAGGGGGCUUGUUGCUUGAGCCUGCACCAAGUGAUUGACAUCUUUAAUGAUUACACAUAUAAUGCGAGUAAGCAAUCAAAACAAGAUGUCAGACCCACCUGAUAAGGAUUCCAGCCUGGAAAGGGGACCAUGGCAGGGGACACUACCACAGGCCCAUAAGGGCCCUGGACUAAUGAGCCAGGCAGCAACGGAGGCCUUGCAACCAGUACACUAUAUUGCUGUUGCGAAGGACCAGAUGGAGGCUGCACGGUUGGAUAUAAUGGAGAAGGUACCUGUACAGGUAGAGGUGAAACCGGGGGAACUGGUGAUGGUGCGGGAAUUUGGACACCUGCAGGCUGUGGAUGAUGGAAUUU
rnacentral:lncRNA from 1 species